rnacentral:rRNA from 1 species
UACGUAGGGGGCUAGCGUUGUCCGGAUUUAUUGGGCGUAAAGAGCGUGUAGGCGGCCAGGUAGGUCCGUUGUGAAAACUCGAGGCUCAACCUCGAGACGUCGGCGGAAACCAUCUGGCUAGAGUCCGGAAGAGGAGAGUGGAAUUCCUGGUGUAGCGGUGAAAUGCGCAGAUAUCAGGAGGAACACCAAUAGCGAAGGCAGCUCGCUGGGACGGUACUGACGCUAAGGCGCGAAAGCGUGGGGAGCGAACAGG